rnacentral:rRNA from 1 species
UACGGAGGGUGCAAGCGUUAUCCGGAUUCACUGGGUUUAAAGGGUGCGUAGGCGGGCAGGUAAGUCAGUGGUGAAAUCUCACAGCUUAACUGUGAAACUGCCUUUGAUACUUCCAAUCUUGAGUUAAAGAGAGGUUGAUGGAAUUUCAGGUGUAGCGGUGAAAUGCGUAGAUAUCUGAAAGAACACCAGUGGCGAAGGCGGUCAACUGGCUUUUAACUGGCGCUCAGGCACGAAAGCGUGGGUAGCGAACAGG